rnacentral:rRNA from 1 species
CAAUAGCGUAUAUUAAAGUUGUUGCAGUUAAAAAGCUCGUAGUUGGAUUUCGGGGUGGCCUGGCUGGUCCGCCGCAAGGUGAGUACUGGUCAGCCGCCCUUCCUCCCGAAAGCCCCGACUGCUCUUUACUGCAGUGGUCGGGUAGUUCGGGACGUUUACUUUGAAAAAAUUAGAGUGUUCAAGGCAGGCUAUCGCCUGAAUACAUUAGCAUGGAAUAAUGGAAGAGGACCUCGGUCCUAUUUUGUUGGUUUCUAGGGCCGAAGUAAUGAUUAAGAGGGACAGUUGGGGGCAUUCGUAUUUAAUUGUCAGAGGUGAAAUUCUUGGAUUUAUGAAAGACGAACUAGUGCGAAAGCAUUUGCCAAGGAUGUUUUCAUUAA